AACGAACGCUGGCGGCGUGCCUAACACAUGCAAGUCGAGGGGUAACAGUUUGUGCUUGCACAAAGCUGACGACCGGCGCACGGGUGCGUAACGCGUAUAGAACCUACCUUAUUCAGGGGGAUAGCCCAGAGAAAUUUGGAUUAAUACCCCAUAGUAUUAUAGAUUGGCAUCGAUUUAUAAUUAAAGAUUUAUUGGGAUAAGAUGGCUAUGCGUUCUAUUAGUUAGUUGGUAAGGUAACGGCUUACCAAGACUACGAUAGAUAGGGGCCCUGAGAGGGGGAUCCCCCACACUGGUACUGAGACACGGACCAG
rnacentral:rRNA from 1 species